AUAAUACUCCAUAGAUUAGAGACACUGGAAUGUUCUUUAGUCGAAAGUUCUGGCGCCUUAGGAUGGAUCUGCGGUCGAUUAGGUUGUUGUUGGGGUAACGGCCCAACAAGCCUGUAAUCGAUACGGGUUGUGGGAGCAAGAGCCCGGAGAUGGAAUCUGAGACACGAUUCCAGGCCCUACGGGGCGCAGCAGGCGCGAAAACUUUACAAUGCAGGAAACUGUGAUAAGGGAACUCCGAGUGCCCGUAUACGCGGGCUGUCCAGGUGUUUAAAAAUCAUCUGAAGAAAGGGCCGGGCAAGACCGGUGCCAGCCGCCGCGGUAAUACCGGCGGCUCGAGUGGUGGCCACUAUUAUUGGGCUUAAAGCGUCCGUAGCUGGACCGAUAAGUCUCUUGGGAAAUCCGCCGGCUCAACCGGCGGGCGUCUAAGGGAUACUGUUAGUCUAGGGACCGGGAGAGGUGAGAGGUACUCCGGGGGUAGGAGUGAAAUCCUGUAAUUCCCGGGGGACCACCGAUGGCGAAGGCAUCUCACCAAAACGGCUCCGACAGUGAGGGACGAAAGCUGGGGGAGCGAACCGGAUUAGAUACCGGGUAGUCCAGCCGGUAACUAUGCGCGUUAGGUGU
rnacentral:rRNA from 1 species